rnacentral:rRNA from 1 species
UGGGGAAUUUUGGACAAUGGGGGCAACCCUGAUCCAGCAAUGCCGCGUGAGUGAAGAAGGCCUUCGGGUUGUAAAGCUCUUUUGUCUGGAAAGAAAUCGCCCGGGUUAAUACCCUGGGUGGAUGACGGUACCGGAAGAAUAAGCACCGGCUAAACUACGUGCCAGCAGCCGCGGUAAUACGUAGGGUGCAAGCGUUAAUCGGAAUUACUGGGCGUAAAGCGUGCGCAGGCGGUUUUUCAAGACCGAUGUGAAAAGCCCCGGGCUUAACCUGGGAAUGGCAUUGGUGACUGAGAGGCUAGAGUGUGUCAGAGGGGGGUAGAAUUCCACGUGUAGCAGUGAAAUGCGUAGAGAUGUGGAGGAAUACCGAUGGCGAAGGCAGCCCCCUGGGAAUAACACUGACGCUCCAUGCACGAAAAGCGUGGGGAGCAAAACAGGAUUAG